rnacentral:misc_RNA from 1 species
AACGCACCUUGCGCCCGGUGGCAUUCCGCCGGGCAUGCCUGUCUGAGUGUCCUUUUAACCAUCAACCGCUGCCCUUUUGCAGCUGGCUUGGAUCGUUGGGCUUGGUAGGGUCUUCACCCCACCGGCCUCAAAGGCAGCUGGUCGUCCGUCUUUGGCGGUCAGACCGAGCGUUGUAGAGUCGCCUCGCUCGGGACGCCACAGCGGUCAGCCGCAAACCAGCCCUUUUACUCAUGCGAUUUUGACCUCAGAUCAGGUAGGAUCACCCGCUGAACUUAA